UACGUAGGGUGCAAGCGUUAAUCGAAAUUACUGGGCGUAAAGCGAGCGCAGGCGGUUUGUUAAGUCAGAUGUGAAAGCCCCGAGCUCAACUUGGGAAUUGCGUUUGAAACUGGCAGGCUAGAGUGUGUCAGAGGGGGGGUAGAAUUCCACGUGUAGCAGUGAAAUGCGUAGAGAUGUGGAGGAAUACCGAUGGCGAAGGCAGCCCCCUGGGCCUGUACUGACGCUCAUGCACGAAAGCGUGGGGAGCAAACAGG
rnacentral:rRNA from 1 species